rnacentral:rRNA from 1 species
UACGUAGGUGGCAAGCGUUGUCCGGAUUUACUGGGCGUAAAGAGCGCGCAGGCGGUCGUUCAAGUCGAGUGUGAAAGCCCCCAGCUCAACUGGGGAGGGUCACUCGAUACUGAUCGACUCGAAGGCAGGAGAGGGUAGUGGAAUUCCCGGUGUAGUGGUGAAAUGCGUAGAUAUCGGGAGGAACACCAGUGGCGAAGGCGACUACCUGGCCUGUUCUUGACGCUGAGGAGCGAAAGCUAGGGGAGCAAACGGG